AGAAGCAGCCAUUCAUUAAAAGAGUGCGUAAUAGCUCACUAGUCGAGAGAUCUUGCGCCGAAAAUGUAACGGGGCUAAACUUACCACCGAAGCUACGGGCUUGAACUUAGUUCAAGCGGUAGGAGAGCGUCGUAACCGGGCUGAAGUCGUACCGUAAGGAGCGGUGGACUGGUUACGAGUGAGAAUGUUGGCAUCAGUAGCGAGAUGUGGGUGAGAAUCCCACAGGCCGAAAACCUAAGGUUUCCUCAGGAAGGUUCGUCCGCUGAGGGUUAGUCGGGACCUAAGCCGAGGCCGAAAGGCGUAGGUGAUGGACAACUGGUUGAUAUUCCAGUACCACUACCAUCGUUAUUAUCGAUGGCGUGACGCAGGAGGAUAGUGUGUGCUAGCUAUUGGAUGCUAGUCUAAGCGUUUAGGCAGUGAGAGUAGGCAAAUCCGCUCUCAUAAUGCUGAGGCGUGAUGGGGAAGGUUCUACGGAACCGAAGUACAUGAUUCCACGCUGCCAAGAAAAGCGUCUAGAGAGAGAAGUAGUGCCCGUACCGCAAACCGACACAGGUAGGUGAGGAGAGAAUCCUAAGGCCGGCGGAAGAAUUACAGUUAAGGAACUCGGCAAAUUGACCCCGUAAGUUCGCGAGAAGGGGUGCCUACGAGAGUAGGCCGCAGAGAAUAGGCCCAAGCAACUGUUUAGCAAAAACACAGGUCUCUGCUAAAGCGUAAGCUGAUGUAUAGGGGCUGACGCCUGCCCGGUGCUGGAAGGUUAAGGGGAACACUUAGCGCAAGCGAAGGUGUGAACUUAAGCCCCAGUAAACGGCGGCCGUAACUAUAACGGUCCUAAGGUAGCGAAAUUCCUUGUCAGGUAAGUUCUGACCCGCACGAAUGGCGUAAUGACUUGGGCACUGUCUCAACUGUAAAUCCGGCGAAGUUGUAGUGCGAGUGAAGAUGCUCGCUACCCGCGAUUGGACGGAAAGACCCCGUAGAGCUUUACUGUAGCUUAGCAUUGAGUUUUGGUAUUGUCUGUACAGGAUAGGUGGGAGACUAGGAAACCAGGGCGUCAGCCUUGGUGGAGUCAACCUUGGGAUACCACCCUGACAGUACUGAAAUUCUAACUGGCGGCCAUGAAUCUGGUCACAGGACAUUGUUAGGUGGGCAGUUUGACUGGGGCGGUCGCCUCCUAAAAAGUAACGGAGGCGCCCAAAGGUUCCCUCAGAACGGUCGGAAAUCGUUCGAAGAGUGCAAAGGCAGAAGGGAGCCUGACUGCGACACCCACAAGUGGAGCAGGGACGAAAGUCGGGCUUAGUGAUCCGGUGGUACCUCGUGGGAGGGCCAUCGCUCAACGGAUAAAAGCUACCUCGGGGAUAACAGGCUGAUCUCCCCCAAGAGUCCACAUCGACGGGGAGGUUUGGCACCUCGAUGUCGGCUCGUCGCAUCCUGGGGCUGAAGUAGGUCCCAAGGGUUGGGCUGUUCGCCCAUUAAAGCGGCACGCGAGCUGGGUUCAGAACGUCGUGAGACAGUUCGGUCCCUAUCCGUCGCGGGCGUAGGAAAUUUGAGAGGAGCUGUCCUUAGUACGAGAGGACCGGGAUGGACUGACCUCUGGUGUACCAGUUGUUCCGCCAGGAGCACAGCUGGGUAGCUAAGUCGGGAAUGGAUAAACGCUGAAAGCAUCUAAGCGUGAAGCCAACCUCAAGAUGAGAUUUCCCAUAGCGUAAGCUAGUAAGAUCCCUUGA
rnacentral:rRNA from 1 species